rnacentral:rRNA from 1 species
UUAAGCGACUAAGCGUACACGGUGGAUGCCCUGGCAGUCAGAGGCGAUGAAGGACGUGCUAAUCUGCGAUAAGCGCCGGUAAGGUGAUAUGAACCGUUAUAACCGGCGAUUUCCGAAUGGGGAAACCCAGUGUGACUCGUCACACUAUCAUUAACUGAAUCCAUAGGUUAAUGAGGCGAACCGGGGGAACUGAAACAUCUAAGUACCCCGAGGAAAAGAAAUCAACCGAGAUUCCCCCAGUAGCGGCGAGCGAACGGGGAGGAGCCCAGAGCCUGAAUCAGCAUGUGUGUUAGUGGAAGCGUCUGGAAAGGCGCGCGAUACAGGGUGACAGCCCCGUACACAAAAGCGCAUGUGCUGUGAGCUCGAUGAGUAGGGCGGGACACGUGGUAUCCUGUCUGAAUAUGGGGGGACCAUCCUCCAAGGCUAAAUACUCCUGACUGACCGAUAGUGAACCAGUACCGUGAGGGAAAGGCGAAAAGAACCCCGGCGAGGGGAGUGAAAAAGAACCUGAAACCGUGUACGUACAAGCAGUGGGAGCACAGGUUUACCUGUGUGACUGCGUACCUUUUGUAUAAUGGGUCAGCGACUUAUAUUCUGUAGCAAGGUUAACCGAAUAGGGGAGCCGGAGGGAAACCGAGUCUUAAUUGGGCGUUAAGUUGCAGGGUAUAGACCCGAAACCCGGUGAUCUAGCCAUGGGCAGGUUGAAGGUUGGGUAACACUAACUGGAGGACCGAACCGACUAAUGUUGAAAAAUUAGCGGAUGACCUGUGGCUGGGGGUGAAAGGCCAAUCAAACCGGGAGAUAGCUGGUUCUCCCCGAAAGCUAUUUAGGUAGCGCCUCGUGAAUUCAUCUCCGGGGGUAGAGCACUGUUUCGGCUAGGGGGCCAUCCCGGCUUACCAACCCGAUGCAAACUGCGAAUACCGGAGAAUGUUAUCACGGGAGACACACGGCGGGUGCUAACGUCCGUCGUGAAGAGGGAAACAACCCAGACCGCCAGCUAAGGUCCCAAAGUCAUGGUUAAGUGGGAAACGAUGUGGGAAGGCCCAGACAGCCAGGAUGUUGGCUUAGAAGCAGCCAUCAUUUAAAGAAAGCGUAAUAGCUCACUGGUCGAGUCGGCCUGCGCGGAAGAUGUAACGGGGCUAAACCAUGCACCGAAGCUGCGGCAGCGAACGUAUCACUUAAAGCGAUUCAGCGGGUUACGAUUGACGGAGCGAAGCGACGUCAAAGCGUAUACAAAGUCGAGUCGGUUUAAGGAUACGUUCGUUGGGUAGGGGAGCGUUCUGUAAGCCUGUGAAGGUGGCCUGUGAGGGUUGCUGGAGGUAUCAGAAGUGCGAAUGCUGACAUAAGUAACGAUAAAGCGGGUGAAAAGCCCGCUCGCCGGAAGACCAAGGGUUCCUGUCCAACGUUAAUCGGGGCAGGGUGAGUCGACCCCUAAGGCGAGGCCGAAAGGCGUAGUCGAUGGGAAACGGGUUAAUAUUCCCGUACUUGGUGUUACUGCGAAGGGGGGACGGAGAAGGCUAUGUUGGCCGGGCGACGGUUGUCCCGGUUUAAGCGUGUAGGUGUGUGUUCCAGGUAAAUCCGGUUCACUUUAACACUGAGGCGUGACGACGAGGCACUACGGUGCUGAAGCAACAAAUGCCCUGCUUCCAGGAAAAGCCUCUAAGCAUCAGGUAACAUCAAAUCGUACCCCAAACCGACACAGGUGGUCAGGUAGAGAAUACCAAGGCGCUUGAGAGAACUCGGGUGAAGGAACUAGGCAAAAUGGUGCCGUAACUUCGGGAGAAGGCACGCUGACACGUAGGUGAAGUGAUUUACUCAUGGAGCUGAAGUCAGUCGAAGAUACCAGCUGGCUGCAACUGUUUAUUAAAAACACAGCACUGUGCAAACACGAAAGUGGACGUAUACGGUGUGACGCCUGCCCGGUGCCGGAAGGUUAAUUGAUGGGGUCAGCGCAAGCGAAGCUCCUGAUCGAAGCCCCGGUAAACGGCGGCCGUAACUAUAACGGUCCUAAGGUAGCGAAAUUCCUUGUCGGGUAAGUUCCGACCUGCACGAAUGGCGUAAUGAUGGCCAGGCUGUCUCCACCCGAGACUCAGUGAAAUUGAACUCGCUGUGAAGAUGCAGUGUACCCGCGGCAAGACGGAAAGACCCCGUGAACCUUUACUAUAGCUUGACACUGAACAUUGAGCCUUGAUGUGUAGGAUAGGUGGGAGGCUUUGAAGCGUGGACGCCAGUCUGCGUGGAGCCGACCUUGAAAUACCACCCUUUAAUGUUUGAUGUUCUAACGUGGACCCGUAAUCCGGGUUGCGGACAGUGUCUGGUGGGUAGUUUGACUGGGGCGGUCUCCUCCUAAAGAGUAACGGAGGAGCACGAAGGUUGGCUAAUCCUGGUCGGACAUCAGGAGGUUAGUGCAAUGGCAUAAGCCAGCUUGACUGCGAGCGUGACGGCGCGAGCAGGUGCGAAAGCAGGUCAUAGUGAUCCGGUGGUUCUGAAUGGAAGGGCCAUCGCUCAACGGAUAAAAGGUACUCCGGGGAUAACAGGCUGAUACCGCCCAAGAGUUCAUAUCGACGGCGGUGUUUGGCACCUCGAUGUCGGCUCAUCACAUCCUGGGGCUGAAGUAGGUCCCAAGGGUAUGGCUGUUCGCCAUUUAAAGUGGUACGCGAGCUGGGUUUAGAACGUCGUGAGACAGUUCGGUCCCUAUCUGCCGUGGGCGCUGGAGAACUGAGGGGGGCUGCUCCUAGUACGAGAGGACCGGAGUGGACGCAUCACUGGUGUUCGGGUUGUCAUGCCAAUGGCACUGCCCGGUAGCUAAAUGCGGAAGAGAUAAGUGCUGAAAGCAUCUAAGCACGAAACUUGCCCCGAGAUGAGUUCUCCCUGAGACUUUAGGUCUCCUGAAGGAACGUUGAAGACGACGACGUUGAUAGGCCGGGUGUGUAAGCGCAGCGAUGCGUUGAGCUAACCGGUACUAAUGAACCGUGAGGCUUAACCUU